GAGGCACACGGACCCCACGAGCGCGGCGGCGGCGACAGCGAAGGGCCAGGCAAGAGCACAACAUGGCGGCGGGCAGGCCGGACCGAGCUACAGCAGCGGCCGCGCGAGGAAGUGAGGUCUCUGGCGAAGGCGGGAAGCGCUGCCCCUCCCCCCGCCGCCGCUCCCCUAUCACCCUCGCACAGAAACUCCCCGCACACUCACACACCUCUGCUCAGGAGUCCAAGAAGAGCAGGAGCCGCCCCCGCGCUCCUACGGAGUCGGGCAAUGCAGAGGCCCUGGCGCGGCGGAGGGGAGGGGGAAGUGUGCGUCACGGAGAACGGAGCGCGCGCGAAGCGGGGGCACAAGCAAGAUGGCGGCCACGCCGUUUGCACCGUCUCCCCUUUUCCCCUCCCCCUCCCCUGGCGCCUGGACUCCCAGUAUCGUGCGGUGCGCAGAAGCUGUGCUCCUUGACGUCUCGCGAGAAUUGGGAAGGGGCGACGACAGAGUGAGGCGGAUGAGAUCUGAGAGUUUUAGCCCCGCCCCCUUCCGGGAGCUCGAGAUCUGAGUUUUGACCCCGCCCCCUUCCGGGGGAUCCGGAGGCGCUGCCCAGUGACCUCCACCACCCUUCCUAUCCUUGUGGAUCUCGUUGGUGCGAGCUUGAAUUUUAGGAAAUAAGUAGGUGUGUGCGCGUGCCCUUGAGUUUUAGGAACUAAGUAGGGGCGUGUGUGUGUAUUUGUGUUUUUAAUUUGGGGAGAAAGAACUGGGGGAUGAAGGUCGACAUGGCGUUCCAGAUUAAGCAUGCCGUUCAAGUAGACAGCUACUGGCACCUUAAAUUCAUAAAAGAGCAUUUAGCACCAAACUGUAAAGUGAUAUCCUCCAGAAUAAAGAACAGGUACUUACCAAGAA